GGAAGUAAAAGUCGUAACAAGGUCUCCGUAGGUGAACCUGCGGAGGGAUCAUUACACAAAUAUGAAGGCGGGCUGGAACCUCUCGGGGUUACAGCCUUGCUGAAUUAUUCACCCUUGUCUUUUGCGUACUUCUUGUUUCCUUGGUGGGUUCGCCCACCACUAGGACAAACAUAAACCUUUUGUAAUUGCAAUCAGCGUCAGUAACAAAUUAAUAAUUACAACUUGCAACAACGGAUCUCUUGGUUCUGGCAUCGAUGAAGAACGCAGCGAAAUGCGAUAAGUAGUGUGAAUUGCAGAAUUCAGUGAAUCAUCGAAUCUUUGAACGCACAUUGCGCCCUUUGGUAUUCCAAAGGGCAUGCCUGUUCGAGCGUCAUUUGUACCCUCAAGCUUUGCUUGGUGUUGGGCGUCUUGUCUCUAGCUUUGCUGGAGACUCGCCUUAAAGUAAUUGGCAGCCGGCCUACUGGUUUCGGAGCGCAGCACAAGUCGCACUCUCUAUCAGCAAAGGUCUAGCAUCCAUUAAGCCUUUUUUUCAACUUUUGACCUCGGAUCAGGUAGGGAUACCCGCUGAACUUAAGCAUAUCAAUAAGCGGAGG
rnacentral:rRNA from 1 species